rnacentral:rRNA from 1 species
GAUGAACGCUGGCGGCGUGCCUAAUACAUGCAAGUCGAGCGAACAGACGAGGAGCUUGCUCCUCUGACGUUAGCGGCGGACGGGUGAGUAACACGUGGAUAACCUACCUAUAAGACUGGGAUAACUUCGGGAAACCGGAGCUAAUACCGGAUAAUAUAUUGAACCGCAUGGUUCAAUAGUGAAAGACGGUUUUGCUGUCACUUAUAGAUGGAUCCGCGCCGCAUUAGCUAGUUGGUAAGGUAACGGCUUACCAAGGCAACGAUGCGUAGCCGACCUGAUAGGGUGAUCGGCCGCACUGGAACUGAGACACGGUCCAGACUCCUACGGGAGGCAGCAGUAGGGAAUCUUCCGCAAUGGGCGAAAGCCUGACGGAGCAACGCCGCGUGAGUGAUGAAGGUCUUCGGAUCGUAAAACUCUGUUAUUAGGGAAGAACAAAUGUGUAAGUAACUAUGCACGUCUUGACGGUACCUAAUCAGAAAGCCACGGCUAACUACGUG